UACGUAGGUGGCAAGCGUUGUCCGGAUUUACUGGGUGUAAAGGGCGUGCAGCCGGGCUGACAAGUCAGAUGUGAAAUCCCGCGGCCCAACCGUGGAACUGCCUUUGAAACUAUAGAGCUUGAGUGUCGGAGAGGGUGGCGGAAUUCCAGGUGUAGGAGUGAAAUCCGUAGAUAUCUGGAGGAACACCGGUGGCGAAGGCGGCCACCUGGACGACAACUGACGCUGAGGUGCGAAAGCGUGGGUAGCAAACAGG
rnacentral:rRNA from 1 species